GAAAAAGCAAGUCAGAAAGACAAAGCAAGCAUCAGAACCAGACUCAGAUUUGACACAAAUUUGGAAAUUAUCAGAUAGAGAAUUUAAAAUAACUAUGUUUUAGAUUUUAAAGACUCUAAUGGAGGAAAUAGUCAACAUGCAAAAAUAGAUGUGUAAUGUAAGAAGAGUGAUGGCAACUCUAGGAAACAAUCAAAAGGAAAUGCUAGAAAUAAUAAAAAUCACUGACAUAAAUAAAGAAUGUCUUCAAUAGUUUCAUCAACAGAACAAGUUUGAGGAAAGAAUGAGUAAGCUUGAAGAUAAGUCAACAGAAAUAAUUUCGAAAGUAUAAUAUACAUCUAUUUGGAAUACCAGAAGGAGAAGAACAAGAACAAGAAACUAAAGAAAUAUUUGAAGUAACACUGUCAGAGGAUUUUCCCAAAUUAACCACAGCAAAUCACAAGUCAAGAAGUAGAGAACAGUAAACAGGAGAAAUACCAAAACAAUUAUACACAAACUUCAGAAAACCAAAGACAAAAAGAAAAUCUUCAAAGGAGUCAGAGAAAAAGUAACCUGACUUACAGCAAAACAGGACAAGAAUUAAAUUAGACUUCCCAUCAGAAACACAGAAGCAAGAAGACUGGAGUGAAGUAUUUAAAUGCUAAAAUAAAGAAAAAAAUACAAACUUGAGAAAUAAAGACUUCCUCAGACAAAUGCUGAGGGAAAUAAUCACCAUCAGACCUUCCCUGUAAGAAAAUAUUAAAAGAAGUUCCUCACGGAAAAGGAAGGUGAUAAAGGUCAGAAACUCAAAUCUGCGUAACAAAGGAAGAGUGCCAAAGAAGGAAUAAAUAAAGCUCUGGGCUGCGGAUUUUACCGCCCCUGCACAGAAGCCUGCAGCGUGGAGGCUCCCCUCGCGCUCGCCCAGACUCGGCUGCAGAAGGAGGACCCACCUCGCGUCUCCCCCGAGGCGCGCACCUCUGUCGCCACCCUCCACGCGCCUAGGAAGUUUUGAAGGUAGAGAAUCUGGGCCCCUCAACUUCCUCUGGACAUGAAUCAAACCGCAGGAGUCUCCAAUAGCGUCAGGUGUCCCCCGGGGAAAGGCCACAAGGCCACUUAUCUUCUAAGGGAUUAAGACUCUACCCGCCUGGCGCGGUGGCUCACGCCUAUAAUUCCAGCACUUUGGGAGGCCAAGGCGUGUGGAUCACCUGAGGUCAGGAAUUCGAGACCAGCCUGACCAACAUGGAGAAACCCUGUCUCUACUAAAAAUACAAAAAAAAAAAAAAUUAUCUGGGCAUGGUGGUGCAUGCCUGUAAUCCUAGCUACUCAGGAGGCUGAGGCAAGGGAAUCGCUUGACCCCGGGAGGUGGAGGUUGCGGUGAGCCAAAAUCGUGCCAUUUCAUGCCAGCUUGGGCAACAGGAGCGAAACUCCAUCUCAAAAAAAAUAAUAAUAAAAUAAAAUAAACCCCACCCACAGUCUCUUCUCUCCUAUUUGAAACACAGGACUCUGUCUCCUCCUAGAUACACACCAAGGUUGAACAAGCACUCCUAGGGGAAUAAAGCCACUAGUUGAGCCAUGCCAAUCAAAUCCUCUCUUUUGGAAACUUGAACAAAGACAUAGAGAUUACAAUGAGAAUUUGAAGGACGCUGUAUAAGAUACUAGACUGACAGCCGUGCAUGGUCAUGAGCAGCCCAGGGAUGACCACUGGGAGAAGAGAAGGCGGAGAGCAGCAGAGAUCACAGAAAUCAUGAGGCCCUGAAAAGUGAAGAUCCCGCCCUCACUUUCUCACUUUCCUGAUGCAGUCAUGUGAAAUUUGUCUUUACUUCCAUUUAUUUCCUUUCCAACUCUCAGUGUUCUGAAAUGUACCAUUACGUAAAAGUGACAGAAAAUGAAGAAAAACCAUUAAUUCCUAGUGGGAUUUCCCAUUUUUACUCUCACUCGCCAUUACCACCAAAUAAAACUGUUUUUGUUGAGCAAACUUUUCUAUAAGCCUCUUUGCAUUCUUACUUUGCAUCCCAGGAGGUACAAGUAAGAAAAAAAAAAAAAAAAAGGUCUUCUGAAUUCUUCUGAAUUAUUUUCUAAGUAGAAGUGGGAGUGAUGGCUAUUUUCCAGGUUAGUAUUGGUUAGAGCUCACCAGAACUGAAUUUGUCAGAAAAAUAGAGGGUAUCUAUGAGGCUUUGUGGCGAGAGACAAAAGGGAACAAGGAAAAAAAGAUGUUGCUGGCAG
rnacentral:lncRNA from 1 species